UAAAGGCUCAGUCUUUCCCCUUUGGAACCAAUUGGUUGCAUGAUGAGUGCAGACAGACUUACCAUUAAGGAAAAUAAGAUGCUGUCAGAUAGCCCCCGACUGCCUGGCCUGCCUGCCUGGCCUCUGCUCAAUCCUCUCUGGGAAUUUAGGAAUGUUGAGACGUGCUGGUUCUAAAGCCGUAACUACAAGAUGGUCAUGGAUGACUGGGAUAAGGCAUGUUCUAAUGGAAACAAAUCACUUGUCAGCAAGCAGCCUUCAAAGUUUUGAACAAAAGCUCAGAGGGUUCAGUGGGGAAAAGAACUUGUUUGUUGGCUUAAAAUGGCUCGAUGCAUGGUCAGUGAAUGCCAAGUAAAGCUGUAACACAAAAAAGUGUUGUGAUAUCAGUUGGUGCAUCCAUACAAUAGACAACUCUAUUAAAUGGAAAUUUUGUGCA